CAUAAGCCAGCUUGACUGCGAGCGUGACGGCGCGAGCAGGUGCGAAAGCAGGUCAUAGUGAUCCGGUGGUUCUGAAUGGAAGGGCCAUCGCUCAACGGAUAAAAGGUACUCCGGGGAUAACAGGCUGAUACCGCCCAAGAGUUCAUAUCGACGGCGGUGUUUGGCACCUCGAUGUCGGCUCAUCACAUCCUGGGGCUGAAGUAGGUCCCAAGGGUAUGGCUGUUCGCCAUUUAAAGUGGUACGCGAGCUGGGUUUAGAACGUCGUGAGACAGUUCGGUCCCUAUCUGCCGUGGGCGCUGGAGAACUGAGGGGGGCUGCUCCUAGUACGAGAGGACCGGAGUGGACGCAUCACUGGUGUUCGGGUUGUCAUGCCAAUGGCACUGCCCGGUAGCUAAAUGCGGAAGAGAUAAGUGCUGAAAGCAUCUAAGCACGAAACUUGCCCCGAGAUGAGUUCUCCCUGACUCCUUGAGAGUCCUGAAGGAACGUUGAAGACGACGACGUUGAUAGGCCGGGUGUGUAAGCGCAGCGAUGCGUUGAGCUAACCGGUACUAAUGAACCGUGAGGCUUAACCUU
rnacentral:rRNA from 1 species